rnacentral:rRNA from 1 species
GACGAACGCUGGCGGCGUGCUUAACACAUGCAAGUCGAACGGAAAGGCCCUGCUUUUGUGGGGUGCUCGAGUGGCGAACGGGUGAGUAACACGUGAGUAACCUGCCCUUGACUUUGGGAUAACUUCAGGAAACUGGGGCUAAUACCGGAUAGGAGCUCCUGCUGCAUGGUGGGGGUUGGAAAGUUUCGGCGGGUGGGGAUGGACUCGCGGCUUAUCAGCUUGUUGGUGGGGUAGUGGCUUACCAAGGCUUUGACGGGUAGCCGGCCUGAGAGGGUGACCGGCCACAUUGGGACUGAGAUACGGCCCAGACUCCUACGGGAGGCAGCAGUGGGGAAUAUUGCACAAUGGGCGGAAGCCUGAUGCAGCAACGCCGCGUGCGGGAUGACGGCCUUCGGGUUGUAAACCGCUUUCGCCUGUGACGAAGCGUGAGUGACGGUAAUGGGUAAAGAAGCACCGGCCAACUACGUG